UGGAGGACUGAGAAGGUGAGGCAGCUCUGUACCAUGCUGCCGUCACUGGGUAAGGCCUCCAAAAGUGAAGGGUCACAAGGGCAGAGAAUGCCUUUGUGACCUCUGAAUGCCUUCAGAGGGGCAGUUGCCCUGCUGGCUGUCACUGG
rnacentral:snoRNA from 1 species